rnacentral:rRNA from 2 species
AGAGUUUGAUCCUGGCUCAGAUUGAACGCUGGCGGCAGGCCUCACACAUGCAAGUCGAGCGGUAGCACAGAGAGCUUGCUCUCGGGUGACGAGCGGCGGACGGGUGAGUAAUGUCUGGGAAACUGCCUGAUGGAGGGGGAUAACUACUGGAAACGGUAGCUAAUACCGCAUAACGUCGCAAGACCAAAGAGGGGGACCUUCGGGCCUCUUGCCAUCAGAUGUGCCCAGAUGGGAUUAGCUAGUAGGUGGGGUAACGGCUCACCUAGGCGACGAUCCCUAGCUGGUCUGAGAGGAUGACCAGCCACACUGGAACUGAGACACGGUCCAGACUCCUACGGGAGGCAGCAGUGGGGAAUAUUGCACAAUGGGCGCAAGCCUGAUGCAGCCAUGCCGCGUGUAUGAAGAAGGCCUUCGGGUUGUAAAGUACUUUCAGCGGGGAGGAAGGCGAUAAGGUUAAUAACCUUGUCGAUUGACGUUACCCGCAGAAGAAGCACCGGCUAACUCCGUGCCAGCAGCCGCGGUAAUACGGAGGGUGCAAGCGUUAAUCGGAAUUACUGGGCGUAAAGCGCACGCAGGCGGUCUGUCAAGUCGGAUGUGAAAUCCCCGGGCUCAACCUGGGAACUGCAUUCGAAACUGGCAGGCUAGAGUCUUGUAGAGGGGGGUAGAAUUCCAGGUGUAGCGGUGAAAUGCGUAGAGAUCUGGAGGAAUACCGGUGGCGAAGGCGGCCCCCUGGACAAAGACUGACGCUCAGGUGCGAAAGCGUGGGGAGCAAACAGGAUUAGAUACCCUGGUAGUCCACGCCGUAAACGAUGUCGACUUGGAGGUUGUGCCCUUGAGGCGUGGCUUCCGGAGCUAACGCGUUAAGUCGACCGCCUGGGGAGUACGGCCGCAAGGUUAAAACUCAAAUGAAUUGACGGGGGCCCGCACAAGCGGUGGAGCAUGUGGUUUAAUUCGAUGCAACGCGAAGAACCUUACCUACUCUUGACAUCCAGAGAACUUUCCAGAGAUGGAUUGGUGCCUUCGGGAACUCUGAGACAGGUGCUGCAUGGCUGUCGUCAGCUCGUGUUGUGAAAUGUUGGGUUAAGUCCCGCAACGAGCGCAACCCUUAUCCUUUGUUGCCAGCGGUUAGGCCGGGAACUCAAAGGAGACUGCCAGUGAUAAACUGGAGGAAGGUGGGGAUGACGUCAAGUCAUCAUGGCCCUUACGAGUAGGGCUACACACGUGCUACAAUGGCGCAUACAAAGAGAAGCGACCUCGCGAGAGCAAGCGGACCUCAUAAAGUGCGUCGUAGUCCGGAUUGGAGUCUGCAACUCGACUCCAUGAAGUCGGAAUCGCUAGUAAUCGUAGAUCAGAAUGCUACGGUGAAUACGUUCCCGGGCCUUGUACACACCGCCCGUCUCACCAUGGGAGUGGGUUGCAAAAGAAGUAGGUAGCUUAACCUUCGGGAGGGCGCUUACCACUUUGUGAUUCAUGACUGGGGUGAAGUCGUAACAAGGUAGCC